rnacentral:rRNA from 2 species
AGGUACGAUCAUACCAGCACUAAUGCGUCGUAUCCCAUUAGAACUUUUGCAGUUAUGCAUGCUUAGGCGAAAGUAGGAAUGGGAUGGGUGACCUCUUGGGAAGUCCUCGUGUUGCACCUC